rnacentral:rRNA from 1 species
UACGUAGGGGGCAAGCGUUGUCCGGAAUCAUUGGGCGUAAAGCGCGUGUAGGCGGCUCGGUAAGUCUGCUCUGAAAGCCUGGGGCUCAACCCUGGGAGGCGGGUGGAUACUGCUGAGCUCGAGUCCGGAAGAGGCGAGUGGAAUUCCUGGUGUAGCGGUGAAAUGCGCAGAUAUCGGGAGGAACACCAAUGGCGAAGGCAGCUCGCUGGGACGUGACUGACGCUGAGACGCGAAAGCGUGGGGAGCAAACAGG